rnacentral:rRNA from 1 species
AUUGAACGCUGGCGGCAGGCUUAACACAUGCAAGUCGAGCGGAGAUGAGGUGCUUGCACCUUAUCUUAGCGGCGGACGGGUGAGUAAUGCUUAGGAAUCUGCCUAUUAGUGGGGGACAACAUUCCGAAAGGAAUGCUAAUACCGCAUCCGUCCUACGGGAGAAAGCAGGGGAUCUUCGGACCUUGCGCUAAUAGAUGAGCCUAAGUCGGAUUAGCUAGUUGGUGGGGUAAAGGCCUACCAAGGCGACGAUCUGUAGCGGGUCUGAGAGGAUGAUCCGCCACACUGGGGCUGAGACACGGCCCAGACUCCUACGGGAGGCAGCAGUGAGGAAUAUUGGACAAUGGGGGGAACCCUGAUCCAGCCAUGCCGCGUGUGUGAAGAAGGCCUUAUGGUUGUAAAGCACUUUAAGCGAGGAGGAGGCUACUGAGACUAAUACUCUUGGAUAGUGGACGUUACUCGCAGAAUAAGCACCGGCUAACUCUGUGCCAGCAGCCGCCGUAA